rnacentral:rRNA from 1 species
UUAAAGUAGUAAGGGCGCAGGGUGGAUGCCUUGGCACUAAGAGCCGAUGAAAGACGUGAUAAGCUGCGAAAAGCUUCGGGGAGGAGCACAUAUCCAAUGAUCCGGAGAUAUCUGAAUGGGGAAACCCGGCAGAGGAAACCUCUGUCAGCGUGCAGUGAAUACAUAGCUGUACGUGGGGAACCCGGGGAACUGAAACAUCUAAGUACCCGGAGGAAGAGAAAGAAAAUUUAUCGAUUUCCAAAGUAGCGGCGAGCGAAAUGGAAAGAGCCCAAACCGUGAUGCGUGCAUCGCGGGGUUCGGACUGCGUUGUGGCAGACGUAAGAUAGGAGAACGGACUGGGAAGUCCGGCCGGAGAGAGUGAAAGCCUCGUAUCCGAAAUCCCAAGUCGCCUAGCAGGAUCCAGAGUAGGACGAGACACGAGAAACCUUGUCUGAACGAGCGGGGACCACCCCGUAAGGCUAAAUACUUCUUAGUGACCGAUAGCGCAUAGUACUGUGAAGGAAAGGUGAAAAGUACCCCGGGAGGGGAGUGAAAGAGAACCUGAAACCCUGUGUCUACAAGCUGUGGGACCUCUUUAUAUGAGGGACUGCGUACUUUUUGUAGAACGGUCCGGCGAGUUGUGCGUACUGGCGAGGUUAAGGACUUAAGGUCUGGAGCCGAAGUGAAAGCAAGCGUUAAUAGCGCGUCAAGUCAGUGAGUGCAGACCCGAAACCGGGUGACCUAUCCAUGUCCAGGUUGAAGCUUCCGUAAGAGGAAGUGGAGGACCGAACCCACAUCCGUUGAAAAGGGUGGGGAUGAGGUGUGGAUAGCGGAGAAAUUCCAAUCGAACCCGGAGAUAGCUGGUUCUCCUCGAAAUAGCUUUAGGGCUAGCCUCAUGAGAGUCUUAUGGAGGUAGAGCACUGAAUUGCCUAGGGGGCGUCAAAGCUUACCAAAGCAUAUCAAACUCCGAAUGCCAUCAAGAUGAUUCAUGGGAGUCAGACCAUACGAGAUAAGUUGGAUGGUCAAAAGGGAAAGAGCCCAGACCUACAGCUAAGGUCCCAAAGUGCGUGUUAAGUGGAAAAGGAUGUGGGGAUUCUAAGACAACUAGGACGUUGGCUUAGAAGCAGCCAUUCAUUGAAAGAGUGCGUAAUAGCUCACUAGUCGAGAGUCCCUGCGCCGAAAAUGUCCGGGGCUGAAACACGACACCGAAGCUUAGGAAUGUGUAAACAUUGGUAGAGGAGCAUUGUUAGCGGGAUGAAGCCAUACCGUAAGGAGUGGUGGACUGCUAAGAAGAGAGAAUGCCGGAAUGAGUAGCGAGAUGAAGGUGAGAAUCCUUCAGGCCGAAUAUCUAAGGUUUCCAGAGUAAAGCUGAUCUGCUCUGGGUAAGUCGGGACCUAAGGCGAGGUCGAAAGACGUAGUCGAUGGAUAACAGGUUGAAAUUCCUGUACCGCAUAUAAACAGAACUGUGGGGACACAGACAGGGAAUGGAAUCCGGGAAUGGAUAUCCCGGUGCAAGCGAGGUAGGAGUGCUGCUGGCAAAUCCGCAGCAUGAUCUGAAGACGUGAUGCGUACCGAACAUAAGUAGGGAAGUCCAGGCCCCUGGCUGUCAAGAAAAGCCGCUAUUGUUUUAUAUGUGCCCGUACCGCAAACCGACACAGGUGGAUGAGGAGAGAAUCCUAAGGCCGACGGGAGAAGUAUUGUUAAGGAACUCGGCAAAAUGACUCCGUAACUUCGGGAGAAGGAGUGCCAUGAGAGUGGCCGCAGAGAAAUGGCCCAAGCAACUGUUUAGCAAAAACACAGGUCUAUGCAAAACCGCAAGGUGAAGUAUAUGGGCUGACGCCUGCCCGGUGCUGGAAGGUUAAGGGGAGAGGUUAGCGCAAGCGAAGCUUUGAACUUAAGCCCCAGUAAACGGCGGCCGUAACUAUAACGGUCCUAAGGUAGCGAAAUUCCUUGUCGGGUAAGUUCCGACCC